AGUCACAUGAAAAGACACCUAACAGAUAAAGGAAAACAGCUAGCAAACAGAAAAUUAAAUGAACUUCAAGAAACUACCAAACAAAAGAAAGUAGAAAAGCAAACGUCUUGAACCAUGCCUCUUUUGAAACAAAUAUCAGCCAAACCUCUCUCCAAGAAACUGAAAGAAAAUCAGAACCAAAAGAAGGAGAGAGCAAAUGCUUUGACGCCGGCUUUGGAGAUUCAAUGAACCUUCUCCAAAAUCAAAGAAAAAAUGGGGAAAACCUUAGAGACGCUAGAACCAGGCCAACCUAUCUGCCAUCACAAACUUCUUCACCGAUGCAGGCACACCAGUACCCCACCCUCCGCAAAAAUGCUUUCUCCGGCCUUCCAGCGCGAGAGUAUGAGCCGCUCCGUUCAUCGAUUUGGGCACAAAAAGCCUCCGAAAGCCCCUCUCAGCCGCAUAAAUAAGUGCUCUUUCACAAGCCCGUGCCUCAGCUACAAAUGCAUCAGCAACAUCCUCGACCAGAUAGGUUUCUGCCCCUACGAUAUCUCCUGUAGAAUCUCUGGCUAUAACUGCAGUUGUAGCGAUUUUGACAUCUUUUUGGAAAGAUACAUCAAAGUUUAACUUGAUAACUCCAUCAUCUGGAGGUCUCCACAGAUCCUUCACCAUAAUUUUAACGGGAGGACGGAGAUUCUCUUGGUUUAGGCAGAUCUCUAGUUCAUACCCUCGAAUAAACCCUAAAAAUUCUUACAUGGAAAAUUUGACCCCAUUCAUGGAUUAGCUUAUUUCUGCGGUGCCAAAUCCCCCAACCUGACAAGCACAACGAAGCUUCUAGUGGUGGAACCUUUACUUGUAAUGAAGCCCAAACACGCUGUAGAGUAUCACAAGACCAUACCAAAUGAGCUGUAUCCUCUAGAUCUGCCUUACACAGAGGGCAAGCAACAUCCACACUCAACUUCCGUCGCGCCAGAUUACCAAAAUGGGGCAGCAGAUCGUUAAUCAGCCUCCAGCAAUGGAUUUUUAUUUUUUGUGGAAUGUUUAGUGCCCAUAAGGCUUUAUAGAAAUCUUUGUAAUUAUCAUUCAUAGAGGAAAUAUAUGUAUGGUAUUGUAAAUGAGCUGUAGAUAGGAUUUUGUACCCACUCUUAACGGUGUACUCCCCCGAUCCUUCGUGCUUCCAAACCAUCAUAUCCUCCGAGCAACUCCCCGAAAUCAGAAUAGAAAAGAUUCGAUCUGCUGUUUCAUCAUCAACUAAAGUUUGCACCAACUCCCUAUUCUAGGCAGCCAAAGAUCGUUCCAGAUGUUGAUGCGAUCACCACUGCCAACCUGCCACAAAAUCCCUUCCACAAUCAACUCCCGGGCGCUGCAAAUACUCCUCCAGGUAAAAGAAGGGUAAGAACCAAUUUUCGCAGAUAGAAUAUCCGAAAACGAGAAAUAACGUGCUCUUAAAACUCUGGCUAAUAGACAACGAGGCUGAGAUAAUAUACGCCAAAUCUGUUUUGCCAAUAAGGCCUUAUUAAACAAAAACAAGUUUUUAAAACCUAACCCACCAGGGCAUUUUGGAUUGCAUGAUUUAUCCCAACUGCUCCAAUGAAUGCCCUUUGACGUUUUGCUAUAGACCACCAGAAUCUAUUCAUUAUGUCUUGGGCCUUCUAAGGUACGACAUAACAUUUUCGGAAAAAGAAAACAUUGCAUGGUAAAAAGCGGAGUUGCAAAACAGAUUUAAAACCUCCUUAGCCCCCAUUGACAGAUAUCUCAAACUCCACCCUUCAACUCUUUUCUUGAACCUAUUAGCAAAAUUGGCAAAAGCCCAUGUUUUCCUUCUACCCACCAUCAUAGGCAGUCCAAGGUACUUUUCAAGAUUGGUAGUCACUCGUGAACGCCUAACAAAUUGAUAAUCUCUGCUUUUACAUUUGAAUUUACAUUAGCCUCGAAAUAGAUAAGGGACUUGUCGAAAUUCACUCGCUGUCUUGAGACCAUCUCAUAUUCUCGAAUGAUAUCUUGGACCACUCUAGCCCCUCUGAAUGAUAUCUUGGACCACUCUAGCCCCCUCACACGAAGCAUCGCCCUAAAGGAUGCAAUCAUAUGCAAAAAAUAGAUGAUUAAUAGCAAAUCUCUCCCUACCAAUAGUUGCGCCCAUCAUCUUGAAUCUAUCAGCAAAAUUGGCAAAAGCCUAUGUUUUCCUUCUACCCACCAUCAUAAGAAGUCCAAGGUACUUCUCAAGAUUGGUAGCCACUCAUGAACUCCUAACAAAUUGAUAAUCUCUGUUUUCACAUUUGAAUUACAUUAGCCUCGAAAUAGAUAAGGGACUUAUCGAAAUUCACUCGCUGUCUUGAGACUAUCUCAUAUUCUCGAAUGAUAUCUUGGACCACUCUAGCCCCCUCACACGAAGCAUAGCCUUAAAGGAUGCAAUCAUAUGCAAAAAAUAGAUGAUUAAUAGCAAAUCUCUCCCUACCAAUAGUUGCGCCCAUCAUCUUGAAUCUAUUAGCAAAAUUGGCAAAAGCACAUGUUUUCCUUCUACCUACCAUCAUAGGCAGUACAAGGUACUUUUCAAGAUUGGUAGCCACUCGUGAACUCUUAACAAAUUGAUAAUCUUUGCUUUUAACAUUUGAAUUUACAUUAGCCUCGAAAUAGAUAAGGGACUUGUUGAAAUUCACUCGUUGUCCUGAGACCAUCUCAUAUUAUUGAAUGAUAUCUUGGACCACUCUAGCCCUUUCGAAUGAUAUCUUGGAUCACUCUAGCCCCCUCACACGAAGCGCUUAAAGGAUGCAAUCGUAUGCAAAAAAAAUAGAUGAUUAAUAGUAAAUUUCUCCCUACCAAUAGUUGCGCCCAUCAUCCAACCUUUGUUUUUGGCAUCUUAAAUCAGAGUAGAGAAACCUUCAGCGCAGAUUAGAAAUAGAUAGGGGCUAAGAGGAUCUCUUUACUUUAAGCCUCUUGAGGGGCAAAAUUAUUUGCCAUUGACUCCAUUAAGAGUAGUCGAGUAGGAAACAGAACAUACACACCUCAUGAUGAGUACAAUCCAGUCCUCAUGGAAACCCAAGUGCUUCAUCAUACCAGCCAGAAAAUUCCAUUCAACUUGAUCAUAGGCUUUACUCGUAUCAAGUUUAAGUGUAAAAUUUCCUUUUUUACCACUCUUUUUCAUUUUGAGAGAGUGAAGGACCUCAUAAACAAUCAACAUAUUAUCUGAUAUUAGUCUUCCUGGAAUAAAAGCCCUCUGAGCUUCAUUAAUGCAGCAACUUAAAAUAGAGCUCAUACGAAUUACCACGACUUUAGCGAUAAUUUUGUAAACAACGUUACAAAGGCUUAUAGGUAUGAAUUGUAACAUGUUUUUUGGUUUAUCAACCUUGGGAAUCAAAAUGAUGUGCGUUUUAUUUAACUCCUCUACUUCAGCUUGACCGUUGAGAAUAGAUAAGCAAUAACGAGCAAUCUCUGAUCCAACAAUAUGCCAGUUAAAAUAGAGCUCAUACGAAUUACCAAGACUUUAGCGAUAAUUUUGCAAACAACGUUACAAAGGCUUAUGGGUAUGAAUCGUAACAUGUUUUUUGGUUUAUCAACCUUGGGAAUCAAAAUGAUGUGCGUUUUAUUUAUCUCUUCUACUUCAGCUUGACCGUUGAGAAUAGAUAAGCAAUAACGAGCAAUCUCUGAUCCGACAAUAUACCAGUACCUUUGGAAGAAAAUAGCGGGGAACACAUCAACUUCGGCUUUUAGAGGUGCCAUCAUCUUAAUCGCAUACGCUAUAUCCUCUUUCGUAAAAUGUCUAAGCAAGGUAUCAUUUAUGCUAUCAGUAACUUUUUUCUCCACGAGAUUAAAUAAA